rnacentral:rRNA from 1 species
GACGAACGCUGGCGGUGUGCUUAACACAUGCAAGUGGUGCGACGAACCAGAGCUUGCUCUGGGGCAAAGCCGCGAACGGGUGAGUAACACGUGGGUAAUCUACCCCGAUGACCGGGACAACCCGAGGAAACUCGGGCUAAUACCGGAUGUGGUGCGGAGACAUAAGUCUCUUCACUAAAGGUAGCUUCGGCUUCCGCAUUGGGAGGGGCCCGCGGCCCACUAGCUUGUUGGUGGGGUCAAGGCCUACCAAGGCAACGAUGGGUAGCUGGUCUGAGAGGACGAUCAGCCACACUGGGACUGAGACACGGCCCAGACUCCUACGGGAGGCAGCAGUGGGGAAUCUUGCGCAAUGCGCGAAAGCGUGACGCAGCAACACCGCGUGAGGGAAGAAGGCCUUAGGGUUGUAAACCUCUUUCAGAUGGGACGAAGGUUCUCCGGUGAAUAGCCGAGAGGAUUGACGGUACCGUCAGAAGAAGCUCCGGCUAACUACGUG